rnacentral:lncRNA from 1 species
CCAAACCAUGCUCAAUAGAGUUCAAGGCAGCCACCAAAGCCACCAGGACAUGUGGUCUACAUAGUGGACCUUUCUACAUAAAGUUACUCCUUCAGACUGAGAGAAGUAACUGUUUCACCCAGCUCAUAGAAACAAACACAGAAAGUCAAGCAAAAUGAAAAGACAGAAGAAUAUGCUCCAAAUGGAAGGAAAAGACAAAACUUUAGGAAAUAAGAACUACAGAGAGGACCUCAUAAGCAGAUCUUUCCCAUUUGAGUCUCCAAUGUGA